GAUGAACGCUGGCGGCGUGCCUAAUACAUGCAAGUCGAGCGAACAGACGAGGAGAUUGCUCCUCUGACGUUAGCGGCGGACGGGUGAGUAACACGUGGAUAACCUACCUCUAAGACUGGGAUAACUUUGGGAAACCGGAGCUAAUACCGGAUAAUAUAUUGAACCGCAUGGUUCAAUAGUGAAAGACGGUUUUGCUGUCACUUAUAGAUGGAUCCGCGUCGCAUUAGCUAGUUGGUAAGGUAACGGCUUACCAAGGCAACGAUGCGUAGCCGACCUGAGAGGGUGAUCGGCCACACUGGAACUGAGACACGGUCCAGACUCCUACGGGAGGCAGCAGUAGGGAAUCUUCCGCAAUGGGCGAAAGCCUGACGGAGCAACGCCGCGUGAGUGAUGAAGGUCUUCGGAUCGUAAAACUCUGUUAUUAGGGAAGAACAAAUGUGUAAGUAACUAUGCACGUCUUGACGGUACCUAAUCAGAAAGCCACGGCUAACUACGUG
rnacentral:rRNA from 1 species